UCCUGGUUAACCCAGGCAGUCUCACUAGAGUUCCCACCAUUACGUGCUGGCAACUAGUGAUAAGGGUUGCGCUCGUUGCGGGACUUAACCCAACACCUCACGGCACGAGCUGACGACAGCCAUGCAGCACCUGUGCAGCGGCCCUUGCGGGCUAUGACAUCUCUGCCAUAUUCCACUACAUGUCAAGUCUGGGUAAGGUUCUUCGCGUUGCAUCGAAUUAAACCACAUGCUCCACUGCUUGUGCGGGUCCCCGUCAAUUCUUUUGAGUUUCACCCUUGCGAGUGUACUCCUCAGGCGGUAUACUUAUCGCGUUAGCUACGGCACAGCCGAGGUUGAAUUCAGCUACACCAAGUAUACAUCGUUUACGGCAAGGACUAC
rnacentral:misc_RNA from 1 species